GGGUUUCAGUGUAAGUGGACGGCAGGCCAAACAAAUAGGACUCAUAAUCCUCUGGUCGAAGGUUCGAGUCCCUCCGGGCCCACCA
rnacentral:tRNA from 1 species